rnacentral:rRNA from 1 species
UACAGAGGUCUCAAGCGUUGUUCGGAAUCACUGGACGUAAAGCGUGCGUAGGCUGUUUCGUAAGUCGUGUGUGAAAGGCGCGGGCUCAACCCGCGGACGGCACAUGAUACUGCGAGACUAGAGUAAUGGAGGGGGAACCGGAAUUCUCGGUGUAGCAGUGAAAUGCGUAGACAUCGAGAGGAACACUCGUGGCGAAGGCGGGUUCCUGGACAUUAACUGACGCUGAGGCACGAAGGCCAGGGGAGCGAAAGGG